rnacentral:rRNA from 1 species
UGCCAGCCGCCGCGGUAAUACAGAGGGUGCGAGCGUUAAUCGGAAUUACUGGGCGUAAAGGGUGCGUAGGUGGCUUGGUAAGUCAGAUGUGAAAGCCCCGGGCUUAACCUGGGAAUUGCAUUUGAAACUAUUAGGCUAGAGUAUGGUAGAGGGAAGUGGAAUUUCCGGUGUAGCGGUGAAAUGCGUAGAUAUCGGAAGGAACAUCAGUGGCGAAGGCGGCCUCCUGGACUGAUAUUGACGCUGAGGUGCGAAAGCGUGGGGAGCAAACAGGAUUAGAUA